AAUGAACGCUGGCGGCAUGCCUAACACAUGCAAGUCGAACGAAGGCUUCGGCCUUAGUGGCGCACGGGUGCGUAACGCGUGGGAAUCUGCCCCUCGGUUCGGAAUAACAGCGAGAAAUUGCUGCUAAUACCGGAUAAUGACGUAAGUCCAAAGAUUUAUCGCCGAGGGAUGAGCCCGCGUAGGAUUAGCUAGUUGGUGUGGUAAAGGCGCACCAAGGCGACGAUCCUUAGCUGGUCUGAGAGGAUGAUCAGCCACACUGGGACUGAGACA
rnacentral:rRNA from 1 species